rfam:Brassica napus, WGS project CCCW01000000 data, contig: 18182
AAACCAUGGUGUGGGCAUUGAGCUUGGUAGCCCUUGAAUCUCUCUCAGGCUUCACUGAAGCCUUCUAAGUUCUUCUGUUGAAAGCUGGAAAUCUUGUUUCUCAGCUU